ensembl:lncRNA novel transcript
CUCUUCUAAAUUACAUGCCGUGGAGACACAAAGGAUUGCCAGAAACUGUACAAGUCAGAAGAGAGUGGGGGCCAAUAUUCAACAUUCUUAGAGAAAAGAAUUUUCAACCCAGAAUUUCAUAUCCAGCCAAACUAAGCUUCAUAAGUGAUGGAGAAAUAAAAUACUUCACAGACAAGCAAAUGCUGAGAGAUUUUCUCACCAUGAAGCCUGCCCUACAAGAGCUCCUGAAGGAAGCACUAAACUUGGAAAGGAACAACCCGUACCAGCCACUGCAAAAACAUGCCAAAUUGUAAAGACCAUUGAUGCUAGGAAGAAACUAACAAGCAAAAUAACCAGCUAACAUCAUAAUGACAGGAUCAAAUUCACACAUAACAAUAUUAACCUUAAAUGUAAAUGGGCAAAAUCCUCCAAUUAAAAGACAGAGACUGGCAAAUUGGAUAAAGAGUCAAGACCCAUCAGUGUGCUGUAUUCAGGAAACCCAUCUCACGUGCAGAGACACACAUAGUCUCAAAAUAAAGGAAUGGAGGAAGAUCUACCAAGCAAAUGGAAAACAAAAAAAAGGCAGGGGUUGCAAUCCUAGUCUCUGAUAAAACAGACGUUAAACCAACAAAGGUCAACAGAGACAAAGAAGGCCAUUACAUAAUGGUAAAGGGAUCAAUUCAACAAGAAGAGCUAACUAUCUUGAAUAUAUAUGCACCCAAUACAGGAGCACCCAGAUUCAUAAAGCAAGUUCUUAGAGACCUACAAAGAGACUUAGACUCCCACAUAAUAAUAAUGGGAGACUUUAACACCCUACCAUCAACAUUAGACAGAUCAACGAGACAGAAAGUUAACAAGGAUAUCCAGGAAUUGAACUCAGCUCUGCACCAAGUGGACCUAAUAGACAUCUACAGAACUCUCCCACCCCAAAUCAACAGAAUCUACGUUCUUCUCAGCACCACACCGCACUUACUCAAAAAUUGACCACAUAGUUGAAAGUAAAGCACUCCUCAGCAAAUGUAAAAGAAUAGAAAUUACGGCAAACUGUCUCUCAGACCACAGUGCAAUCAAACUGGAACUCAGGGUUAAGAAACUCACUCAAAACCACCCAAAUACAUGGAAACUGAACAAUUUGCUCCUGAAUGACUACUGGGUACAUAAUGAAAUGAAGGCAGAAAUAAAGAUGUUCUUUGAAACCAAAGAGAACAAAGACACAACAUACCAGAAUCUCUGGGACACAUUUAAAGCAGUGUGUAGAGGGAAAUUUAUAGCACUAAAUACCCACAAGAGAAAGCGGGAAAGAUCUACAAUGGACACCCUAACAUCACAAUUAAAAGAGCUAGAGAAGCAAGAGCAAACACAUUCAAAAGCUAGUAGAAGGCAAGAAAUAACUAAGAUCAGAGCAGAACUGAAGGAGAUAGAGACACAAAACACCCUUCAAAAAAUCAAUGAAACCAGGAGCUAGUUUUUUGAAAAGAGCAACAAAAUUGAUAGACUGCUAGCAAGAUUAAUAAAGAAGAAAAGAGAGAAGAAUCAAAUAGAUGCAAUAAAAAAUGAUAAAGGGGAUAUCACCACCGAUCCCACAGAAAUACAAACUACCAUCAGAGAAUACUAUAAACACCUCUACGCAAAUAAACUAGAAUAUAUAGAAGAAAUGGAUAAAUUCCUCGACACAUACACCCUCCCAAGACUAAACCAGGAAGAAGUUGAAUCUCUGAAUAGACCAAUAACAGGCUCUGAAAUUGAGGCAAUAAUUAAUAGCUUACCAACCAAAAAAAAGUCCAGGACCAGAUGGAUUCACAGCCAAAUUCUACCAGAGGUACAAGCAGGAGCUGGUACCAUUCCUUCUGAAACUAUUCCAAUCAAUAGAAAAAGAGGGAAUCCUCCCUAACUCAUUUUAUGAGGCCAGCAUCAUUCUGAUAUCAAAGCCUGGCAGAGACACAACAAAAAAAGAGAAUUAUAGACCAAUAUCCCUGAUGAACAUCGAUGCAAAGAUCCUCAAUAAAAUACUGGCAAACUGAAUCCAGCAGCACAUCAAAAAGCUUAUCCACCAUGAUCAAGUGGGCUUCAUCCCUGGGAUGCAAGGCUGGUUCAACAUAUGCAAAUCAAUAAAUGUAAUCCAGCAUAUAAACAGAACCAAUGACAAAAACUCACAUGAUUAUCUCAAUAGAUGCAGAAAAGGCCUUUGACAAAAUUCAACAACCCUUCAUGCUAAAAACUCUCAAUAAAUUAGGUAUUGAUGGGAUGUAUCUCAAAAUAAUAAGAGCUAUUUAUGACAAACCCACAGCCAAUAUCAUCCUGAAUGGGCAAAAACUGGAAGCAUUCCCUUUGAAAAUUGGCACAAGACAGGGAUGCCCUCUCUCACCACUCCUAUUCAGCAUAGUGUUGGAAGUUCUGGCCAGGGCAAUCAGGCAGAAGAAAGAAAUAGAGGGUAUUCAAUUAGGAAAAGAGGAAGUCAAAUUGUCCCUGUUUGCAGAUGACAUGAUUGUAUAUCUAGAAAACCCCAUUGUCUCAGCCCAAAAUCUCCUUAAGCUGAUAAGCAACUUCAGCAAAGUCUCAGGAUACAAAAAUCAAUGUGCAAAAAUCACAAGCAUUCUUAUACACCAAUAACAGACAAACAGAGAGCCAAAUCAUGAGUGAACUCCCAUUCACAAUUGCUUCAAAGAGAAUAAAAUACCUAGGAAUCCAACUUACAAGGGAUAUGAAGGACCUCUUCAAGGAAAACUACAAACCACUGCUCAAUGAAAUAAAAGAGGAUACAAACAAAUGGAAGAACAUUCCAUGCACAUGGGUAGGAAGAAUCAAUAUCGUGAAAAUGGCCAUACUGCCCAAGGUAAUUUAUAGAUUCAAUUCCAUCCCCAUCAAGCUACUAAUGACUUUCUUCACAGAAUAGGAAAAAACUACUUUAAAGUUCAUAUGGAACCAAAAAAGAGCCUGCAUCGCCAAGUCAAUCCUAGGCCAAAAGAACAAAGCUAGAGGCAUCAUGCUACCUGACUUCAAACUAUACUACAAGGCUACAGUAACCAAAACAGCAUGGUACUGGUACCAAAACAGAGAUAUAGACCAAUGGAACAGAACAGAGCCUUCAGAAAUAAUACCACACAUCUACAACUAUCUGAUCUUUGACAAACCUGACAAAAACAAGAAAUGGGGAAAGGAUUCCCUCUUUAACAAAUGGUGAUGGGAAAACUGGCUAGCCAUAUGUAGAAAGCUGAAACUGGAUCCCUUCCUUACACCUUAUACAAAAAUUAAUUCAAGGUGGAUUAAAGACUUAAAUGUUAGACCUAAAACCAUCUAACCAUUGCCUAGAAGAAAACCUAGGCAAUACCAUUCAGGGUAUAGGUAUCGGCAAGGACUUCAUGUCUAAAACACCAAAAGCAAUGGCAACAAAAGCCAAAAUUGACAAAUGGGAUCUAAUUAAACUAAAGAGCUUCUGCACAGCAAAAGAAACUACCAUCAGAGUGAACAGGCAACCUACAGAAUGGGAGAACAUUUUUGCAAUCUACUCAUCUGACAAAGGGCUAAUAUCCAGAAUCUACAAUGAACUCAAACAAAUUUACAAGAAACAAACAAACAACCCAGUUAACAAGUGGGCGAAGGAUAUGAACAGACACUUCUCAAAAGAAGACAUUUAUGCAGCCAACAGACACAUGAAAAAAUGCUCAUCAUCACUGGCCAUCAGAGAAAUGCAAAUCAAAACCGCAAUGAGAUACCAUCUCACACCAGUUAGAAUGGAGAUCAUUCAAAAGUCUGGAAACAACAGGUGCUGGAGAGGAUGUGGAGAAAUAGGAACACUUUUACACUGUUGGUGGGACUGUAAACUGGUUCAACCAUUCUGGAAGACAGUGUGGCGAUUCCUCAGGGAUCCAGAACUAGAAAUACCAUUUGACCCAGCCAUCCCAUUACUGGGUAUAUACCCAGAAGAUUAUAAAUCAUGCUGCUAUAAAGACACAUGCACACAUAUGUUUAUUGUGGCACUAUUCACAAUAGCAAAGACCUGGAACCAACCCAAAUGUCCAACAAGGACAGACUGGAUUAAGAAAAUGUGGCACAUAUACAUCAUGGAAUACUAUGCAGCCAUAAAAAAUGAUGAGUUCAUGUCCUUUGUAGGGACAUGGAUGAAGCUGGAAACCAUCAUUCUCAGCACACUAUAGCAAGGACAAAAAACAAACAUCGCAUGUUCUCACUCAUAGGUGGGAAUUGAACAAUGAGAACACCUGGACACAGGAAGGGGGACAUCACACACCCGGGCCUGUUGUGGGGUAGGGGGAUGGGGGAGGGAUAGCAUUAGGAGAUAUACCUAAUGUAAAUGACGAGUUAAUGGGUGCAGCACACCAACAUGGCACAUGUAUAUAUAUGUAACAAACCUGCACGU